UUGAGGAGGCGCCAUUAGCAUCAGGGAGCAUUGCUCAAGUACAUAGAGUUUCUUUGAGUUUUCAGUAUCCAGAGCAAAAGUCUAAGUAAUAAUACUUAAUGUGGGCUUUGACUUCUGGAUAUACUAGAUACAAGUUUGGGCUUUUCGUUUGGGCCUGGUUCACUAAAGCCAAGUUGAGCUCGUGAGGAGCUGAUGGUUAUAACGGCCUAACGGUCUCA
rnacentral:lncRNA from 1 species